rfam:Lupinus angustifolius cultivar Tanjil contig_26979, whole genome shotgun sequence.
GCCGAGCUGGGUAACUCUAGCUUGUAACCCAAGUGGGGGCAUCGAGGUGAUGGAACAUGGCUAUGGCUGUGCUUGUUCGGGAUGGUGGCUGCACCAUGUUGGCGUGCCUACUCCAAGUUGAGAGUUGAGGCGUGGUGCUUGGGCUAAGGCGGAGGUGUCAUGACUCCUAGACAAGAGGGCAAAGCGUGAGGCUGGUUUCACAGAGCAGCGAACACCUCUGGCUCCUAACAGUGGAGGGAUCACAUGCCACUGCACUUUCAUCCCACUGUGGCCUAGCUAGCCAAGCUACUUGAACCAUCACUUUU